GGGAGUGUGGCGGAACUGGAAGACGCGCCGGAUUCAAGUCCCGGUGUCCUGUGGCGUGAGGGUUCGAAUCCCUCCACUCCUA
rnacentral:tRNA from 1 species